rnacentral:tRNA from 1 species
UCCUCGGUAGUUAAGUGGUUAGUAUCCCCGCCUGUCACGCGGGCGACCCGGGUUCAAUUCCCCGCCGGGAAG